GGUUGACCUCUGUUCUUGGUCCUGACACCUCACCAAAACAUGGUUGCAAUAGUUGGUGGUGCAGCAGCCAUCAUGUGAACGAAACGAGCAUGCUGUAGCAUAACAGAUACAACCUGGAAUGUUCAGUCACUACCAGAAUUUUCUCUCACUCUGAUUCAUACAGCCAUGUUAAUCAAACAGCAAGCCAUCUGCAUCAAUAAGAACAACAGCAUUGGCAAGUAGGGGAGAUACCUGUCUUUGAAGAGGCAAGCUAGAACAUACGAACAAAUAAAUAUUUGGUAAUGA